CACGUAGGGCGCAAGCGUUGUCCGGAAUUAUUGGGCGUAAAGAGCUCGUAGGCGGUCUGUUACGUCUGCUGUGAAAACCCGGGGCUCAACCCCGGGCCUGCAGUCGAUACGGGCAGACUAGAGUGCGGUAGGGGAGACUGGAAUUCCUGGUGUAGCGGUGAAAUGCGCAGAUAUCAGGAGGAACACCGAUGGCGAAGGCAGGUCACUGGGCCGCAACUGACGCUGAGGAGCGAAAGCAUGGGGAGCGAACAGG
rnacentral:rRNA from 1 species